rnacentral:rRNA from 1 species
AGAGUUUGAUCAUGGCUCAGAAUGAACGUUGGCGGCGUGGAUUAGGCAUGCAAGUCGAGGGAGAACCCGCAAGGGGGACACCGGCGAACGGGGUAGGAUCACGUAGGUGACGUACCCCCAGGGCGAGGAUAGCCACGGGAAACUGUGGGUAAUACUCGAUAACCUUCCCGAUCAUGAUCGAAUGGGAAGCAAUGGGUGUGAUUCCACCUGGGGAGCGGCUUACGCAGUAUCAGCUAGUUGGUGAGGUAACGGCUCACCAAGGCAUUGACGCUUAGGGGGUGUGAGAGCAUGGCCCCCACCACUGGCACUGAGACACUGGCCAGACACCUACGGGUGGCUGCAGUCGAGAAUCUUCGGCAAUGGACGAAAGUCUGACCGAGCGACGCCGCGUGCGGGAUGAAGGUCUUCGGAUUGUAAACCGCUGUCGGAGGGGAUGAAGUAUACGAGAGCAAUCUCUUGUAUUUGACAGAGCCUCGGAGGAAGCACGGGCUAAGUUCGUGCCAGCAGCCGCGGUAAUACGAACUGUGCGAACGUUAUUCGGAAUCACUGGGCUUAAAGGGUGCGUAGGCGGUCAUCUAAGUCACGUGUGAAAUCUUCUGGCUCAACCAGAAAACUGCGCGUGAAACUAGUUGACUUGAGUGAGGUAGGGGUGUGUGGAACUUCCGGUGGAGCGGUGAAAUGUGUAGAGAUCGGAAGGAACGCCAGCAGCGAAAGCGGCACACUGGGCCUUUUCUGACGCUGAGGCACGAAAGCUAGGGGAGUGAACGGGAUUAGAUACCCCGGUAGUCC